CCUACGGGUGGCAGCAGUCGAGAAUCAUUCACAAUGGGGGAAACCCUGAUGGUGCGACGCCGCGUGGGGGAAUGAAGGUCUUCGGAUUGUAAACCCCUGUCAUGUGGGAGCAAAUUAAAAAGAUAGUACCACAAGAGGAAGAGACGGCUAACUCUGUGCCAGCAGCCGCGGUAAUACAGAGGUCUCAAGCGUUGUUCGGAAUCACUGGGCGUAAAGCGUGCGUAGGCUGUUUCGUAAGUCGUGUGUGAAAGGCGCGGGCUCAACCCGCGGACGGCACCUGAUACUGCGAGACUAGAGUAAGGGAGGGGGAACCGGAAUUCUCGGUGUAGCAGUGAAAUGCGUAGAUAUCGAGAGGAACACUCGUGGCGAAGGCGGGUUCCUGGACAUUAACUGACGCUGAGGCACGAAGGCCAGGGGAGCGAAAGGGAUUAGAUACCCCAGUAGUC
rnacentral:rRNA from 1 species